rnacentral:misc_RNA from 1 species
UUUCCGUAGGUGAACCUGCGGAAGGAUCAUUAUCGUAGGGCUUCGGCCCUGUCGAGAUAGAACCCUUGCCUUUUUGAGUACCUUUCGUUUCCUCGGCAGCCUCGGCUGCCAAUGGGGACCCCAAAAAACACUUUGCAGUACCUGUAGCAGUCUGAACAAACAAACAAAAAUUAAAACUUUCAACAACGGAUCUCUUGGUUCUG